GGAAUCCAAUGGCUCCCUCCAAUUUUUUCCAAAUUAUAAAGCUUCUGUCCAGGAAAGCUUUGGUUAUCCAUCUUGCCAUCCGCAGGAGAAAUCUCCUGUUUUCUCGACCCAACAAGAGAAGUAGAAUCCACCAAACUGUUCCCGUUGGUUCUUUGAACAGGAGCCUCAGCCAAUUUAUAAGCACGCGCUGGCCUUUUAACUAUUUCAUUAUCGAGUAAACUUUUGGUAGAAGAUUUUGGUCCAAAUUUCUUGUCUUCUCUAACAAACUCAAAAGCACAAAUAAGUCCAUCAGUCCACAGCUCACUCCCUGGCAUGAC
rnacentral:misc_RNA from 1 species